GUUCGUCUGUGUCUGAUGUCAGUUGUGUUUUGAUUAGGUGGGUGUCUAAGCGAUGGACAAAGAGGUGUUUCCUCAAUUUCAAAGCUUGUUAUGUAUUUAUGUAUUUGGUUAGCGAAGAUGACUCUUUAUGUGUGGGGAUGGGUUUAUGUAAUUUAAUGUGGGAUUUUCGGGAAUUUGUUCUUGUAGCAGAAUUUACGGGAUUAUAUAAGGAAUAUUUUAGAAUAAUUAGUAUUAUUAAAUAUUAAGGGAAAUUGUUGUAUUUUCACAGAUUUCUGGAAGCUUUGAAGUUUUUAUGAACAAAGUUUAAGUGCAUGUAGUUUUAUUAGGUAGGAUUUAUUCUGCUGAUGUUGAGUAUAGUUCCAUACACAUUUGGUUAAAAAUGAGUGAGAAUUAUUUAUUAAUUUAUUUCUACAAAUACUAGUUGAAGAGUGAUAUUAUACAUUAGUUCAGUAGUUUGAUUCCUGUGGUAGAUUAUUUACCAUAUUAAUGUUAGUGUUAAAGUACCCAAGUUAAUAGAAAGUUUGUAUUUGCCAGAUAAGAAUUUUUAUUGUUGUUAUCAGUCAGUCAGUGUUACAGUUUUAGAGAGUGAUUCAUGAUAUUAGUGAAUACAUAAUUCAUUAGGGUGGAAAAGAUAGUUUAAAAUGUAAGGUUAAGAAACAAUGUCAUGUAAGAGAGGAUCAAAUUAUUGUCAUAAAUGGAAUAUUUUAUGUCUCAUAAAUAAAUGCCUAAUUGUACUGUAA